AUCUAGAGAAACCAAAACCAAGGGAACGAGCUUGGAAAAAUUAACGGGGAAAGACAACCAUGUUGAGCUUGACUCUAGUCCAACUUUGUGAAAUGACUUGAGAGGUGUAGACUAAGUGGUAUUUGUUUUCAGUGCAAGUGAAAUACCACUAAUUUUAACGUCAUUUUACUUAUUUCAUGGGGGAGAGACAAGGCAUUGCACAUAUGUUAAAAGAUAAUGCACAUUUCUUCUGUUGGAUUACUGAGAGGGGGGGUGAAUCAGUAAAAGAGAAAUCUAAUCCUUUUUAACCAUAUAACCCAAGUGUUAUAUCAAUGUAGCAUUAUCAUCCAAUAAUUGUAGAGU
rnacentral:ncRNA from 1 species